GUGAGGAAUUUUGGACAAUGGGCGAAACCCUGAUCUAGCCAUGCCGCGUGAGCGAUGAAGGCCUUAGGGUUGUAAAGCUCUUUCAGCUGGGAAGAUAAUGACUGUACCAGCAGAAGAAGCCCCGGCUAACUUCGUGCCAGCAGCCGCGGUAAUACGAAGGGGGCUAGCGUUGCUCGGAAUUACUGGGCGUAAAGGGAGCGUAGGCGGAUAGUUUAGUCAGAGGUGAAAGCCCAGGGCUCAACCUUGGAACUGCCUUUGAAACUCCUGGUCUUGAGGUCGAGAGAGGUGAGUGGAAUUCCGAGUGUAGAGGUGAAAUUCGUAGAUAUUCGGAGGAACACCAGUGGCGAAGGCGGCUCACUGGCUCGAUACUGACGCUGAGGUGCGAAAGCGUGGGGAGCAAACAGGAUUAGAAACCCGGGUAGUCC
rnacentral:rRNA from 1 species